AUUGAACGCUGGCGGCAGGCUUAACACAUGCGAGUCGAACGAUGAGAAAGAGCUUGCUCUUUCGAUUAGUGGCGGACGGGUGCGUAACGCGUAGGAAUCUACCUAUUAGUGGGGGACAACUUAGGGAAACUUAAGCUAAUACCGCAUACGCCCUACGGGGGAAAGAAGGGGAUCGCAAGACCUUUUGCUAAUAGAUGAGCCUGCGUAGGAUUAGCUAGUUGGUGGGGUAAAAGCUCACCAAGGCGACGAUCCUUAACUGGUUUGAGAGAAUGAUCAGUCACACUGGAACUGAGACACGGUCCAGACUCCUACGGGAGGCAGCAGUGGGGAAUAUUGGACAAUGGGCGAAAGCCUGAUCCAGCAAUACCGCGUGUGUGAAGAAGGCCUUAGGGUUGUAAAGCACUUUCAAUUGGAAGGAAAACCUCGAAGCUAAUACCUUCGAGUUUGACAUUACCUUUAGAAGAAGCACCGGCUAACUCCGUGCCAGCAGCCGCGGUAA
rnacentral:rRNA from 1 species